rnacentral:rRNA from 1 species
UACGAAGGGGGCUAGCGUUGCUCGGAAUCACUGGGCGUAAAGGGUGCGUAGGCGGGUUCUUAAGUCAGGGGUGAAAUCCUGGAGCUCAACUCCAGAACUGCCUUUGAUACUGGGAAUCUCGAGUCCGGGAGAGGUGAGUGGAACUGCGAGUGUAGAGGUGAAAUUCGUAGAUAUUCGCAAGAACACCAGUGGCGAAGGCGGCUCACUGGCCCGGUACUGACGCUGAGGUGCGAAAGCGUGGGGAGCAAACAGG